rnacentral:rRNA from 1 species
CAGCAGCCGCGGGAAUACAGAGGGUGCGAGCGUUAAUCGGAUUUACUGGGCGUAAAGCGUGCGUAGGCGGCUUCUUAAGUCGGAUGUGAAAUCCCUGAGCUUAACUUAGGAAUUGCAUUCGAUACUGGGAAGCUAGAGUAUGGGAGAGGAUGGUAGAAUUCCAGGUGUAGCGGUGAAAUGCGUAGAGAUCUGGAGGAAUACCGAUGGCGAAGGCAGCCAUCUGGCCUAAUACUGACGCUGAGGUACGAAAGCAUGGGGAGCAAACAGGAUUAGAGACCCCAGUAGUCCCUGUCUCUUAUAA